rnacentral:rRNA from 1 species
AGAGUUUGAUCCUGGCUCAGGACGAACGCUGGCGGCGCGCCUAACACAUGCAAGUCGAACGAGAGAGAAGGAGCUUGCUUUUUCGAUCGAGUGGCGAACGGGUGAGUAACGCGUGAGGAACCUGCCUCAAAGAGGGGGACAACAGUUGGAAACGACUGCUAAUACCGCAUAAGCCCACGGGUCGGCAUCGACCAGAGGGAAAAGGAGCAAUCCGCUUUGAGAUGGCCUCGCGUCCGAUUAGCUAGUUGGUGAGGUAAUGGCCCACCAAGGCGACGAUCGGUAGCCGGACUGAGAGGUUGAACGGCCACAUUGGGACUGAGACACGGCCCAGACUCCUACGGGAGGCAGCAGUGGGGAAUAUUGCACAAUGGGGGAAACCCUGAUGCAGCGACGCCGCGUGGAGGAAGAAGGUCUUCGGAUUGUAAACUCCUGUUGUUGAGGAAGAUAAUGACGGUACUCAACAAGGAAGUGACGGCUAACUACGUGCCAGCAGCCGCGGUAAAACGUAGGUCACAAGCGUUGUCCGGAAUUACUGGGUGUAAAGGGAGCGCAGGCGGGAAGACAAGUUGGAAGUGAAAUCUAUGGGCUCAACCCAUAAACUGCUUUCAAAACUGUUUUUCUUGAGUAGUGCAGAGGUAGGCGGAAUUCCCGGUGUAGCGGUGGAAUGCGUAGAUAUCGGGAGGAACACCAGUGGCGAAGGCGGCCUACUGGGCACCAACUGACGCUGAGGCUCGAAAGUGUGGGUAGCAAACAGGAUUAGAUACCCUGGUAGUCCACACCGUAAACGAUGAUUACUAGGUGUUGGAGGAUUGACCCCUUCAGUGCCGCAGUUAACACAAUAAGUAAUCCACCUGGGGAGUACGACCGCAAGGUUGAAACUCAAAGGAAUUGACGGGGGCCCGCACAAGCAGUGGAGUAU